UGCUCUACUAUUUGGUACUGUCAGUGUUUUGGAUAUUAGCCAUCUUAAUAGGUGCAAUGAAUGUGUCCUGCUCUUACUUGGGAUAAGUUCAAAAAUAGAUGCAAUUGAAAAAAAAUCUCCUGGGUCCAGGCGUGGUGGCUCACUCCUGUAAUCCUAGCACUUUGGGAGGCCAAAGUGGGCAGAUCAUGAGGUCAAGAGAUCGAGACCAUCGUGGCCAACAGGGUGAAACCCCAUCUCUCCUAAAAAUACAAAAAAUUAGCUGAGUAUGGUGGCACGUGUCUGUAAUCUCAGCUACUUGGGAGGCUGAGGCAGGAGAAUGGCUUGAACCCGCGAGGCAGAGGUUGCAGUGAGCCAAGAUCGUGCCACUGCACUCCAGCCUGGGUGACAGGGCUCAGACUCCGUCUAAAAAAAAAAAAAAAAAAACAACUCCUGGAAGUCCCAUUUAAUCUUGGUUACAUGAGCUUAUUAGAGAAUUUUGUUGUUCCCAACAUUAGCUGAGAAAUGUACUCUAAGAAGUGAAUAGACUAAAGUGGAACCAGGGUGCAGUGGAGAAUGAGAGCUGUUAUCUAGAAAACCUUUCUUGGGCAUGUUUCAGCACACUCUGCUCCUGACGAUGGCUCCAUCAUUGUCACCUGUGGUCAGGUGUAUGGGAUAUGCUGCAUAGGCUCCCUGUGAGCCUCCAAAUUGUAAGUUAAAGGCUCUGAGAGCUUGGCAGUAAGUAGACGACUCCUGGUCACAUUUGUUUAACCCAGUGUUUCCCAAACUCAUUUGGCCUUGGAACUCUAUUUCUUGGGACAUUUAUUACCUGCUGGUGGAACUAAUGUUCAAAAAAAUACACCCUAGAUAAUUUAGGCAAAACAUCUUUUCUAUAAAUAA
rnacentral:lncRNA from 1 species